UUACCUUUGUUUAAAUUCACAGAAUGGAGAACAUUAUGGAUUAGGAAAGGCCUGGCAAGAUGGCUCACAGGAUAAAGGCACUUGUCACCUGUCCUGGACCUAUAUGGUAGAAGGAGAGUAAAUUCUUGAAAUUUUUCUUCUGAUUUCCACACAGAAGCAGUGAAAGUAGCAGGUGAUAAACACAAACAAACACAGAAAGACCUGUCCUGGCUCCAUCUUCUAGUAGUUUGCGAUGUCCGAGGAGCCAUGCUACAGAGAGACUCAGAGAUAGUACCCACUCUCCUGCCUAACGUGGUGAUGGCACGGGUGUUACUAAGCUGCAGGAGAAUUUGAUGACAGCGAGGUA